rnacentral:rRNA from 1 species
AUUGAACGCUGGCGGCAUGCUUUACACAUGCAAGUCGAACGGCAGCGCGGGCUUCGGCCUGGCGGCGAGUGGCGAACGGGUGAGUAAUACAUCGGAACGUGCCCAGUAGUGGGGGAUAGCUCGGCGAAAGCCGGAUUAAUACCGCAUACGACCUGAGGGUGAAAGCGGGGGAUCUUCGGACCUCGCGCUAUUGGAGCGGCCGAUGGCAGAUUAGCUAGUUGGUGGGGUAAAGGCCCACCAAGGCGACGAUCUGUAGCUGGUCUGAGAGGACGACCAGCCACACUGGGACUGAGACACGGCCCAGACUCCUACGGGAGGCAGCAGUGGGGAAUUUUGGACAAUGGGCGAAAGCCUGAUCCAGCAAUGCCGCGUGUGUGAUGAAGGCCUUCGGGUUGUAAAGCGCUUUUGGCGGGAACGAAAAGGACUGUGCCAAUACCACGGUUCGAUGACGGUACCCGCAGAAUAAGCACCGGCUAACUACGUG